GAUAUGACGUUUAAUCAUGUGGGUUGGGCUUUGUACUAAUUAGCUUUAAUGAUAUGCCUAUGAUAAAUGGCUGAUAUCUAUUACAAUCUACACCCAGUACAUGGCUUAUAUUUGAGGGGCUCUGCCUCAUCAAAUUUAAUAAGGCCCGACCAGUUUACCUCUGUAAAUAUAUAUGGUAGACGUAACAAUAGUGAUGAUAUAUUCACUUACAAAAGUAUUUUUCAGUUUUAGUUCAUCCACCUUUUCUUUCAGAUGUACGUUGGUACAUUCACGUCACACUGACGUAGGAAGGGGGGCAGAGCCAUGCCCUCCCCCAUAUUGACAGAAAAUUUUCUUCUGAAUCAUAUACAGCAAACAUUUAACAUUUCUUUUUAUUUUUAAUCCUAGCCUCCAUUAUAAUAUGUAAAGGUAUAUUUUGAUCUGUUGUCAAAAAGUUUUUACGAGAGUUCAUGUCUUGAGUGUAUUAUGAAGAAGGCAAGAGAUUGAGCUAUACAACCUAUUAAUGUCAUAAUACAGACUAAGAAAGAUCAUUUUUUAAUUUGACUUGAGGUUUAGGGAACGCUUCGGACCAUCAGUCUUUAUGACAGUACUAAUAGUUUUUGAUGAUGCCUUAACGACCGGCCCUAAGAAAUUGACACAAA